rnacentral:lncRNA from 1 species
AACACCGACUCAUGUCAAUAACUAAUUAUUAAUAGCUAUUUCUGUUGGAUCGUCGGCGCUAACCAUUAAUCCCAAAAGCUCAAGUUGUUAGAAAUACACAACCAAUUCACUUAAAGGACAGAUAUAGCGCCAAUGGGUCUCAAUUGUGACUCGACCCAAUCAGCCUCACGUCACUUUGAAUAUGACUCGGCCAACCAAACCUCACGUCAUUUUGAACAUAACUCAACCCAACACGACCUCCCGUCACAGAGCAGGAUGCUGGUCCAUUUAAACCAAUAAUUUCAAUAGCUAGAAACUGGAACGUGAC